rnacentral:rRNA from 1 species
GGAAUUUAUACUGCAAGUCGAACGGGAUCCACCAGCUUGCUGGUGGUGAGAGUGGCGCACGGGUGCGUAACGCGUGAGCAACCUGCCCGUCCCAGGGGGAUAGCCCCUCGAAAGAGGGAUUAACACCGCAUAAAGUUAUAUACCGGCAUCGGUUGUAUAACCAAAUAUUUAUAGGGGACGGAUGGGCUCGCGUGGCAUUAGCUAGUUGGUAGGGUAACGGCUUACCAAGGCUAUGAUGCCUAGGGGCUCUGAGAGGAGAAUCCCCCACACUGGUACUGAGACACGGACCAGACUCCUACGGGAGGCAGCAGUAAGGAAUAUUGGUCAAUGGGCGGGAGCCUGAACCAGCCAUGCCGCGUGCAGGAGGACUGCCCUAUGGGUUGUAAACUGCUUUUGCACGGGAACAAACACCGGCACGCGUGCCGGCUUGAGUGUACCGUGAGAAUAAGGAUCGGCUAACUCCGUGCCAGCAGCCGCGGUAAUACGGAGGAUCCGAGCGUUAUCCGGAUUUAUUGGGUUUAAAGGGUGCGUAGGCGGCAUGCUAAGUCAGUGGUGAAAGACGGUGGCUCAACCAUCGCAGUGCCGUUGAUACUGGUGUGCUUGAAUGCGGAUGAGGUAGGCGGAAUGUGGCAAGUAGCGGUGAAAUGCAUAGAUAUGCCACAGAACACCGAUUGCGAAGGCAGCUUACCAAGGCGAUAUUGACGCUGAUGCACGAAAGCGUGGGGAUCGAACAGGAUUAGAUACCCUGGUAGUCCACGCCCUAAACGAUGAUGACUCGGUGUCGGCGAUAGAAUGCCGGCGCCCAAGCGAAAGCGUUAAGUCAUCCACCUGGGGAGUACGCCCGCAAGGGUGAAACUCAAAGGAAUUGACGGGGGCCCGCACAAGCGGAGGAGCAU